rnacentral:misc_RNA from 1 species
GUUCCGUUGGUGAACCAGCGGAGGGAUCAUUACAGGACUCGCAAGACUCCUACAACCCUGUGAACUUAACUAUAAGCACGUUGCUUCGGCGGGUGUCUCGGAGGGGGUUCUCCCUCCCCGAGACGCUAAACCCGCCGGCAGCCUACUAUACUCUGUCUCUUUGCGUUGGCAUCUCGAGUACAAUCAAACAAGUUAAAACUUUCAACAACGGAUCUCUUGGUUCUG